ACGCCGCGUGGAGGAUGAAGUCCUUUGGGACGUAAACUCCUUUCGACCGGGACGAUUAUGACGGUACCGGUGGAAGAAGCCCCGGCUAACUUCGUGCCAGCACCGCGGUAAUA
rnacentral:rRNA from 1 species